rnacentral:rRNA from 1 species
GACGAACGCUGGCGGCGUGCUUAACACAUGCAAGUCGAACGGAAAGGCCCUGCUUUUGUGGGGUGCUCGAGGGGCGAACGGGUGAGUAACACGUGAGUAACCUGCCCUUGACUUUGGGAUAACUUCAGGAAACUGGGGCUAAUACCGGAUAGGAGCUCCUGCUGCAUGGUGGGGGUUGGAAAGUUUCGGCGGUUGGUGAUGGACUCGCGGCUUAUCAGCUUGUUGGUUGGGUAGUGGCUUACCAAGGCUUUGACGGGUAGCCGGCCUGAGAGGGUGACCGGCCACAUUGGGACUGAGCUACGGCCCAGACUCCUACGGGAGGCAGCAGUGCGGAAUAUUGCACAAUGGGCGGAAGCCUGAUGCAGCAACGCCGCGUGCGGGAUGACGGCCUUCGGGUUGUAAACCGCUUUCGCCUGUGACGAAGCGUGAGUGACGGUAAUGGGUAAAGAAGCACCGGCUAACUACGUG